UGGGGAAUAUUGGGCAAUGGGCGCAAGCCUGACCCAGCAACGCCGCGUGAGGGAAGAAGGCCUUCGGGUUGUAAACCUCUGUCCUUGGGGACGAAAAAAAUGACGGUACCCAAGGAGGAAGCUCCGGCUAACUACGUGCCAGCAGCCGCGGUAAUACGUAGGGAGCGAGCGUUGUCCGGAAUUACUGGGCGUAAAGGGUGCGUAGGUGGCUUGGCAAGUCAGAUGUGAAAUCCCCGGGCUUAACUCGGGUGCUGCAUUUGAAACUGCUGAGCUUGAGUGCAGGAGAGGAAAGCGGAAUUCCUAGUGUAGCGGUGAAAUGCGUAGAUAUUAGGAGGAACACCAGUGGCGAAGGCGGCUUUCUGGACUGACACUGACGCUGAGGCACGAAAGCGUGGGGAGCAAACA
rnacentral:rRNA from 1 species